AGGGACGAAUACUGACGGUACCUCCCAAGAAAGCACCGGCUAACUCCGUGCCAGCAGCCGCGGUAAUACGGAGGGUGCAAGCGUUGCUCGGAAUUACUGGGCGUAAAGCGUACGCAGGCGGUCUGAUAAGGUCGGGUGUGAAAGCCCCAGGCUCAACCUGGGAACUGCAUCCGAAACUGCCAGACUUGAGUUCGGGAGAGGGAAAGUGGAAUUCCUGGUGUAGAGGUGAAAUUCGUUGAUAUCAGGAGGAACACCGGCGGCGAAAGCGGCUUCCUGGCCCGAUACUGACGCUCAUGUACGAAAGCGUGGGGAGCAAACAGGAUUAGAUACCCUGGUAGUCCACGCCGUAAACGAUGAGUGCUAGAUGUUGGAGGUAUUCACCCCUUCAGUGUCGAAGCUAACGCAUUAAGCACUCCGCCUGGG
rnacentral:rRNA from 1 species